rnacentral:rRNA from 1 species
GCAAGUCGAGCGAACAGAUAAGGAGCUUGCUCCUUUGACGUUAGCGGCGGACGGGUGAGUAACACGUGGAUAACCUACCUAUAAGACUGGGAUAACUUCGGGAAACCGGAGCUAAUACCGGAUAAGAUUUUGAACCGCAUGGUUCAAUAGUGAAAGACGGCCUUGCUGUCACUUAUAGAUGGAUCCGCGCCGUAUUAGCUAGUUGGUAAGGUAACGGCUUACCAAGGCAACGAUACGUAGCCGACCUGAGAGGGUGAUCGGCCACACUGGAACUGAGACACGGUCCAGACUCCUACGGGAGGCAGCAGUAGGGAAUCUUCCGCAAUGGGCGAAAGCCUGACGGAGCAACGCCGCGUGAGUGAUGAAGGUCUUCGGAUCGUAAAACUCUGUUAUCAGGGAAGAACAAACGUGUAAGUAACUGUGCACGUCUUGACGGUACCUGAUCAGAAAGCCACGGCUAACUACGUGCCAGCAGCCGCGGUAAUACGUAGGUGGCAAGCGUUAUCCGGAAUUAUUGGGCGUAAAGCGCGCGUAGGCGGUUUUUUAAGUCUGAUGUGAAAGCCCACGGCUCAACCGUGGAGGGUCAUUGGAAACUGGAAAACUUGAGUGCAGAAGAGGAAAGUGGAAUUCCAUGUGUAGCGGUGAAAUGCGCAGAGAUAUGGAGGAACACCAGUGGCGAAGCGACUUUCUGGUCUGUAACUGACGCUGAUGUGCGAAAGCGUGGGGAUCAAACAGGAUUAGAUACCCUGGUAGUCCACGCCGUAAACGAUGAGUGCUAAGUGUUAGGGGGUUUCCGCCCCUUAGUGCUGCAGCUAACGCAUUAAGCACUCCGC